rnacentral:lncRNA from 1 species
ACCGCAGCUCUGAAAGCAGUGCACUCUUGCUAACAAAACUCUGGUUGACAUAAAUACUGGUACCAUUCGAUUUUCCUCCUUCUAUAGCAUUUGUCUUAGCAUAUGUCUUUUGGAUUUCUUCAAAACAAAUAUUAUCAUCAUCUUCCUCGUCCUCAUCUGGAACUUUUCCAUAAAGACUGUAAUCCCCACCAUUCUGAUCCGUUUCACCAACAAUAGAAUUAUCAGCAUUCUCCUCCCCAUUUUCCUCCUCCCCAUCUUGAUUUUCAUCUUCAACAAACUCAUUAUCACCAACAUCUUCAUCAUCAUCACCAACAUCUUAUUCCCAUUCACCAGCUUCAUCAUUAUCACCAACAUCUUUUUCCCAUU